rnacentral:lncRNA from 1 species
GAUUAAGUCACUUAGUACUACGGUCUAGUUGUGUUAUUAUUCACUUGUAAGUGAGAGCCUUAUUAAGUUCGACACUCGUCAAAGGCGAAUAUGAACCACAUUAUUGCUAGCCCAUUGUGAGGCUUAGCCCACCCCACCCCCUUAAUAUAGAUAUCGUUUGUUAAAGAAAAAGAAUGAAAGUAAGUAAUAUGUUUUGAUACAAGUGACAGUUUAUACUACAUUCGUCUAAAUUAAUGAGAAAUGAGAUCCAAAUUAGGGUGUAGUCUAUAAACUGCAAAAGAGAGAACAUAUUGUUCUAACUAACUUGACUCAUAUAUGUACGUUGUUGUGAAAAUAAGUAAUAUGUUGGCAAAAAAGAAUGUGGAUAAAGGUAGGGUGUGCAAUUUUUAAAAUUUUAUAAAUUACAAGAUAGAAGUAUGAUUGGAGCAUCUCCAAUAGUUUUUCUUAGCCCUUAAUUUUGUUGUCAUAAACUUAAUACAUGUCAAUCAAUAAUAUAAACUAUAGAAAAGCCACACAAAAAAUAAGUAUAAAAAAAAAUUAAUCUCUUCUUAAAAUGCUCUUAGGAAAAAGUUGAGCGAGCAACAAGGAAUUAAGCAGAUAUUAAAUAAACAAUAUUUUUUGGGGUCUUUGGUUAUCUCUUAUAUAUAAAGCCAGAGCCUCGAUUUGGGGUCAUGGCUUCGACAAAAAUAAUUGGACCAAAUUGUCCCUCAGCCAAAAAAAUUCAAAACCUGACCAAAAUAAUAUAUCAAAUCAUGUAAGGGUAAGUUGGUAAUCAUAAAAUAAAAUAUAAAUAUAAAUGGGGAGAGAGAAAAGAAAAAAAAAUGAAAGAGAAGAGAGAAAAAAAAUAAACAAAUGACAAAGUUGAUGGUGCCCAAGUGAUGGGGAAGAAAAAUAUAAUAAAAAAAUAAGAAAAAUCAUGAAUGUUGUGUUCAAAACAUCUUAAGAGCCGCGUAGCGCUGGUGAUAAAAAAAA